CCUGUAGUCCUUCACAGGGCCCAGCGGUCGCCCCAACACAGGCAGGCACAGAUUACGUUCGGGUCGUCCUAAAGGAAGUGUCUAUGGAUCCUCUCCGAAAUGUGAACUAUUUUUCCAGGCUCUCCUAUACUCCAGUGAUUAGUAAAAUCACUGGAAGAGAGGUGUUUGACGGAAGAGGAUUGACAGCAGUUCAGACCCAAGUGUACUGCAUCAUCAGGAAAGAGGAAAAGAUAUAUUCUGAAAUCAUCCACACGUUUCCCCUACAUUUCA